rnacentral:lncRNA from 10 species
CUCAGGCUUUCAUUCCUCACGGUUUUCCCACUGACCCAUUUGUAUGUACCUCCCACCUGGAGGAACCCUCGCUCCCCCUAAUGCAGUGCAGCUGCACAGAACAGCUCCAGCCAGACACUGCCCGUGGGAGGCUGCUGCUGUUCUCUGUGGCCCAGGGGCUGAGAGCCUCGUAUUCAGGACAGGAGUGCUUCACAGCCCUGUGGGCAGGCAGGCAGGAUGACCGGCAGGGGGCUGGCUAAUUGCUCAGUGGCUCAGCACAGGGUCCCCGCUGGCUGGCACAAUGGACUCAAGCUAGGCUAGGAGAGGAGAAGGGAGAUGUAUGCUCUGCACUCGCAGCUGUGGAAUGCUGCAGGGGUGUGCAGAGAAACCCUAACCUUGAUAAAGGGGCUGACUGCAUUGGUUAUACAUCAAAUUGGGACCAAAGACCGGACUAGCAGAGAGAAUCCCUGGAUUUGUAAGCCGGGAACGCAACCCCAGGCGACACAGAGACCAGCAAGCAGUAACCUGGCAACCGAGCGUGGAUGCUGGCAGAGGAGCCCCUCUCCUUCGACUCCUGCCCCUCCUUCCCCUCCCUCACAGGCGCAGACUCGGGGGGAGGCGCAGGGCCGCCUGCUGUUCUGAGAGGGAGCUGCGCGUAUCUAGGCUGAGGGCCUUUCUGGUACAGCCUUCCGCUGCCGUCAAUGCUGCUUCUGCCCCAGCUCCCAGGGCAGGUAACGGGAUUCCCUUGGCGCCGUGUUUGAGAACCGCCCAGGGCUCCCUUCCCGUGGUGGGAAGAGGGUUGCGCUGUUUCCCACAGUGUCAGUGAGUCGCCCUGGGCAGACAGGCUUUGUUCUUCCCUGGGCGGUGGGGUCUGUCUCUCGCGGAACACAGAGCCUGGGGUUGCCUGAGCCAGGAGGAUCACCUGUUUCACCAUCAAAGGUGACACGCGGAGGAGCUGCUAUAUCUACCUCACCCAGCGUAGAGAGCUCCAGAAAUCUUUCUUUCCUAGCUAGAAACUAACGACUUGAGAAUUCUGUAGAACAGCAGCAACAAAAAUAUCUUUGCAGCAGCUUUGGCCACGUGAAUUGUCUUGGACGCAGCCACGUCGUAUCCAUCCCCGUUGAAUUUGCUUUGCUGGGGACCUCGCGGGUCUGAUGUCCCAUGUGUGGUAAGGGAGACACACCUCCUGGGAAGCUCAGUGCCUCCCCCUGGAGACAGAUGUGGGCAUCUGCACCUGCACAGGGGGAAUGGUCUAAAAAACCAGGUGGAGGAGACCCCGGCAGGACGGCAAGCGGAGCGGGCACAUUUAGAUAGGAGAAAAAGACUGAUCUCCAGUAAAGUCAGCAGUGCUAGCAACAAGGAAUGCAGGCGCGGCAGGAGGCAGGACUCGGGAU